rnacentral:misc_RNA from 1 species
CGUCAUUCCCUGUAUAUAAAGCCUUUGCCACAUCCGGAGGAAUCAUUUCUGUCUUGACACUCAAACUGGGUAGAAAAUGUCACGUCCUACAGAUCCCAAUUUGACAGCAGUGUCUCUGGUGGAGAGUAGCACUCGUCCGGGGGGUGUCAAGCUGGUCAGUGCUCGUCAUGCCAACAAGACAUCCGACCCCAUGGACCUUGUGGAGCUGGCUAUGCAGGUGCAGAAGGCAGAUGAGUUUACCCGAGCUAACGCUGGGAGCAAGUUGACGGUUAUAGCUGAUCAAAUACGGUAUCUACAAGAACAGGCGAGAAAGGUGUUGGAAGAGGCCAAGAGGAAUGCCCUCCUUCAUCACGUAGCCUGUAACUUUGUGAAGAAGCCAGGCAACACAUAUUACCUGUUCGAGAGAGACUCGGGGCAGAAGUACUUCUCCAUAUUGUCACCGCAGGAAUGGGGAGCAUCAUGUCCACAUGAGUUCCUGGGAGGAUUCCGUCUGGAGUAUGACCAGUCCUGGACACCGCUAGAUGAUGUUGAGCGGCGGGGAGAAGAGAUUGCGUUGAUAGACAAAAUAUUGAAUGCACAACAGGCCAUUACUGACAGUGCCACGCCAAACUUCAGCGGCUUGACAACUCAACCAAAGCCCAGCACAGAGGCCAAGAUAACUGACAUGUCGUAGAAGGAGGACUAGGCCAUCACAACAAGCAGCUACAGAUGCCUCACAUCAGCCAUGUAACCAGAUUAUUUCCGUGACUCUGUGAUAUAGGAUGGUUCAACUGAACAUUUUAUAGAGCAUAUUGAAGCAGAGGAUUUAAACAUGUUAAACGAAGAAGAAGAAAUGGUUUAAUUGAAACAAUAGUGAAUGAAUCUUCAUAUUGAUGUGUCCAAACUGUUUGAGUUUCUAACCCUCAAAUUGUCUCUACAGUAGAUGUUUGUAUUUAUUUUGUGGAUUAUAAGUUGAACUCGCCCGAUGGAAGGAUAUUCUACAAGACUUGGUCUGCUUAGAAGUGGCUUUUGAUGCUUACUGCUAUGUUUGUUUAUUUCGUGAUGCUUCACAUGGAACUAAAUAUGCAGGCGGCCAGCUUCACAUAGAAGUGAAUAUGCAGGUGGUCAGCUUCACAUAGAACUUAAUAUGCAGGUGGUCAGCGUCACAUGGAAGUGAAUAUGCAGGUGGUCAGCUUCACAUAGAACUUAAUAUGCAGGUUGUCAGCUUCACAUAGAACUUAAUAUGCAGGUGGUCAGCUUCACAUGGAAGUGAAUAUGCAGGUGGUCAGCUUCACAUAGAACUUAAUAUGCAGGUGGUCAGCGUCACAUGGAAGUGAAUAUGCAGGUGGUCAGCUUCACAUAGAACUAAAUAUGCAGGUUGUCAGCUUCACAUAGAACUUAAUAUGCAGGUGGUCAGCGUCACAUGGAAGUGAAUAUGCAGGUGGUCAGCUUCACAUAGAACUAAAUAUGCAGGUUGUCAGCUUCACAUAGAACUUAAUAUGCAGGUUGUCAGCUUCACAUAGAACUAAAUAUGCAGGUGGUCAGCUUCACAUGGAAGUGAAUAUGCAGGUGGUCAGCUUCACAUAGAACUUAAUAUGCAGGUGGUCAGCUUCACAUAGAACUAAAUAUGCAGGUGGUCAGCUUCACAUGGAAGUGAAUAUGCAGGUGGUCAGCUUCACAUAGAACUUAAUAUGCAGGUGGUCAGCUUCACAUAGAAGUGAAUAUGCAGGUGGUUACUGAAGCCUGUUCAGGUUCAAGUGACAUAUGUUGCAGGAAUAUGGGGUCAUUUUGGGGGGUGGGCAAUGGGACUAAAGUACUUGAGUAAGUUAACAGUUUGACACAUUCAACAAAGAAAACUUCAGUUCCCAUCAAGUAUGGAACAUUGUUGUAUUUACUGUUGGUAAUGUUUAGAUGUUGACAUGUUUUGCAGGAGAAAACAGCUGGUGUAUUUUGAGGUCUCUCCUGCUGUGGCCUGGGUGAUUUGUGUGUCUCAGGAACAUCUGUUGAUUUGUAUAUAAGAAUCUGUAUAUUUCUCAUUGGUACACGGUGGCGAAGUCACCGUUAUUAUCACCUCCGACGUAAGAAAUGGGGAACAUUACGUAUAAAAUUCUUUACCCAAUACACAGAAAAACCCAACCAGUCUUCUGGUAACGUUUCUCAAUCAUGCUUCUGUCCUGCUGUGAGCUAAAAGUUUGUUUUUCAUUCAUUUGUAGCCUUACUAAUCUAAAAUAAAAAAUUAAUGAUAUUUUAUUUUGACCACCUACAUUGAAUUUUAGGCCAAAUUUUAAAUAAACCAACUUAUUACAAAUUUUAGACCCAGAAUAGAAAAUAUUAUCUGUUAGGAAUUAUUAUACGGGUGUAUCAGGCAAUGGCAAUGUGAUUUUGUUGAGGGAUUUCAUCAUGCCUAUAGCAUUGUUUGCUGUUUUUAUGCUGUACCCCCGGAAUGGAACUCGUGUAGGUAUUAACACUUUCAGUAUCAUUUAUUUUAAAGAUGUUGAUAUAGAAUGCAAACGGCCGGGCCCCCUUGAAUUGAGUAUGCUGGUUUGCAUUUAUUUUGUUCCAGAGUCUUGAUAUACAGAUACAUGAUCUACAGGAAUUGUGUCGGAUAAUAUCACAUUUCAUUUUCAUAUGAAUAUAUUCAUAGUGGUUAUAGCCAUGCGUAUAAUAUCCAGACAAUGUCAAGUUCUUGUGAAUAUGUCAUGGAUCUAGAUUUGUUGACAUUCUUAAACUUAUUAUGUUAUGUAUAUACGAGUAAAUAAACCGUUUAUUUUAUUUUAGUGGAGUCAUGAUGAUGUUGUUAAUUAUCUGUUCCAUUAAAGGGGCGCUGAUCUAAAGCAAUUCCCCGGGACUGGUU